UACCAGCACCCCGAGUGGUCGGGACGUUUAUUGGGCCUAAAGCAUCCGUAGCCGGUUCUACAAGUCUUCCGUUAAAUCCAACUGCUUAACAGGUGGGCUGCGGAAGAUACUAUAGAGCUAGGAGGCGGGAGAGGCAAGCGGUACUCGAUGGGUAGGGGUAAAACUCCGUUGAUCCAUUGAAGACCACCAGUGGCGAAGGCGGCUUGCCAGAACGCGCUCGACGG
rnacentral:rRNA from 1 species